rnacentral:rRNA from 1 species
GACGAACGCUGGCGGCGUGCUUAACACAUGCAAGUCGAACGGUGUCCUCGGAGCUUGCUCCGCUGGAUCAGUGGCGAACGGGUGAGUAACACGUGGGCAACCUGCCCCUCACUUCGGGAUAACUCCGGGAAACCGGGGCUAAUACCGGAUAUGACCUCCUUGGGCAUCCUUGGAGGUGGAAAGUUUUUCGGUGAGGGAUGGGCCCGCGGCCUAUCAGCUUGUUGGUGAGGUAGUGGCUCACCAAGGCGACGACGGGUAGCCGGCCUGAGAGGGCGACCGGCCACACUGGGACUGAGACACGGCCCAGACUCCUACGGGAGGCAGCAGUGGGGAAUAUUGCGCAAUGGGCGAAAGCCUGACGCAGCAACGCCGCGUGCGGGAUGACGGCCUUCGGGUUGUAAACCGCUUUCAGCAGGGAAGAAGCCGCAAGGUGACGGUACCUGCAGAAGAAGCACCGGCUAACUUCGUGCCAGCCGCCGCAGUAA